rnacentral:rRNA from 1 species
AUUGAACGCUGGCGGCAUGCCUUAUACAUGCAAGUCGAACGGCAGCACGGACUUCGGUCUGGUGGCGAGUGGCGAACGGGUGAGUAAUGUAUCGGAACGUGCCUAGUAGUGGGGGAUAACUAGUCGAAAGAUUAGCUAAUACCGCAUACGACCUACGGGUGAAAGUGGGGGAUCGCAAGACCUCAUGCUAUUAGAGCGGCCGAUAUCAGAUUAGCUAGUUUGUGGGGUAAAGGCCCACCAAGGCAACGAUCUGUAGCUGGUCUGAGAGGACGACCAGCCACACUGGGACUGAGACACGGCCCAGACUCCUACGGGAGGCAGCAGUGGGGAAUUUUGGACAAUGGGGGCAACCCUGAUCCAGCAAUGCCGCGUGUGUGAAGAAGGCCUUCGGGUUGUAAAGCACUUUUGUCAGAGAAGAAAACUGUUGCGCUAAUAUCGCGACGGGAUGACGGUAUCUGAAGAAUAAGGACCGGCUAACUACGUGCCAGCAGCCGCGGUAA